AUGGGCAGUAAGAAGGACUCUCAUCGUUUCUACCAAAAGCCCCUGUCAAGCCUCUACUCUGCUAUAAACCAAUAUCAUGACAACGGAUGUGCAAGUGAAAGGACGUCUAUAUGAAUUGUAUAUGGAGGCACAAGAUCUUUUUAUAAACAGCAAAGGUUCUUAGUUAAAAACACAACUCUCAAAACAAGACAACUACCAGGUAAGAAAGAGUUCUGAAAAAGUAAACACCAUAUACACUUAUAAUACAACAGUGUAAAAUGAAAAAAAGUAUUUACAUGUUGAAUUUCAUUUUAACUUUUUUUUUUACAUUGGCUAGUUCUGUUUGAAAAGCAGAAUAUUAUGUAUACUAGUUAGCUGCUCCAUAGAUAUGAAUGUUAUUGCUGUUGUUUUCUUUCCCUUCGUUAAGUCUUCUUUCAGAAAUAGAAACAAUGAGUAAUUAAACUGAAUAUACAAGUAUUAAGUAAUAUAUUUUUAUGUACAGGGAGAGUCAACAGCCUGUAUGAAACACCUCUUCUCCCUUUUAACUUCCUAAA
rnacentral:lncRNA from 1 species